GGGGAUACUUUUGGGUAGCUGAGAUGCUAUUAUAAUGCUAAGCGUUGGUCUCCAUCUCCAACCUCGCUGUUUUGUUUCCAGUCCCCACCUCCUGGUUCGCGAAUACCCCCUCGAAUUUCGCUGCUCUUCCACGGGAUAUUCCACGGUUGCGUCUCCUUUGUUGUGGUCUGCGCAGGGCAUGUCGUCCUGAGCAGUGAGCACUGGGCAGGACACGGAUGAAGGAGCGGAAGCCGGCAUCCUCCUCCUCCGCUCUGGUCCGGAUCCUCGCGGUCUGCGCGUCCCAGGCAAAAGAUUAUGGGAGAUGCAUAGCAGCAAAGGUCCCUGAGAUUGAACAUAAUAUGUGUUCCAAGGAGUUUCUAGCACUCAGAGCAUGCAUGCAGACUGUGGUUAAGAACAAGGCUUGAGGCUCCAUAUUUAUAGGAAGUUUGAUACUAAUCUCUUUUGGUAAUUGCUGCGGAUUUUUGUCAUCUUAAAAAGUAGAACCUCAUUUUCUUGGCUAAACAAUCAGUAGAGCCUAAGCACGCAAGAGACAAAGAAAAUGUUGGGCAAUCAGAUACAAGGGGGCUUGGGCACAUCUGGGGCACUGUCUCAUGCUUAUGUUCAGCAUCCUCCGCUGCGAUGUGACAUACCAGACACUCAGGGUCUGUUCUAUGAUGAUGCAAAUAAGUUCCUUAUAGCUCCAACUGCUGAUCGGAUAUUGUACUGGAAAACAAUUCUACCUACUCCAUCUGGACCUCCAAACUCUGAUCCAGUUAAUGAAGGACCUGUCUUGUCAGUUCGAUAUUCGCUGGAUCAUAAAGUUAUUGGGAUUCAACGAUCCAGACAUGAAAUUGAGUUUAGAAAUAGGGAAACAGGGGAGACUUGUAGCAAAAAGUGCAGAGCUGAUUCAGAAACUGUACUUGGCUUUUUCUGGACAGAUUGCCCAACAUGUGAUGUUAUACUUGUAAAAACAAGUGGUCUUGAUCUUCUUGCCUACGAGCCUCAGCCCCAUGCUUUUCACUUGGUGGAAUCGAAGAAGUUCAAUGUGAGCUGGUAUCUUUACACACAUGAAAGUAGGCUGAUUCUACUUGCUUCUGGAAUGCAAUGCACGAUGUUUACUGGCUAUCAGUUUUCUGCUGGUGGGAUUGUCAAAAUACCGAAGUUUGAGAUGAUGAUGUCUAAAAGUGAAGCAAACAACAAGCCUGUUCUAGCUGCAGAUGAUGUUUACAUUGUAACAGUCUAUGGUAGGAUUUAUUGCUUGCAGCUUGACAGAGUUAGUAUGUCAUUGAAUCUAUAUCGCUUUUACCGUGAUGCUGUUGUACAACAGUGUACUCUGCCAACAUACUCAAGCAGAAUUGCAGUUAGUGCCGUUGACAACAUAAUUAUGGUUCACCAAAUAGAUGCAAAAGUAGUCAUGCUUUACGAUGUGUCCCUGGAUUCUUAUGCCCCAGUUUCUGCACCACUUCCACUGCUAUUGAGAGGACUGCCCAUCAAUAGUAGACAAGUAUCUCAGACUGCGGAUAGCCAGUCUAGUGCAUACGGUGGAACCAUCUAUGGAGAAGGUUGGAACUUCCUCAUUCCAGACCUCAUCUGUGAUGCUGAGAAUGGGCUCUUAUGGAAGCUCCAUUUAGAUCUGGCGGCUAUUGCUGCUAGUAGUUCUGAUGCUCCUUCAAUUUUGGAAUUCCUUCAGAGACGAAAGUCUGACCCAAGCAUGGUUAAGACUCUAUGCCUAGCUAUAGUUCGGACAAUCAUCCUGGAAAGGAGGUCAGUGCCCACAGUUGCUAAGGCGAUGGAUGUUGUCCUUGAUUCCUACACGCGUUUGAUGAAAAUGGGAGGGGCUUUUCCUGGGGUUAGGCGAAUACAUGAGCAAAAUCAGCAGUCAGGUAGUCAGCCUAUUGAUGGCUCCCAUGUGGUUUCUCAGGAAUCCAGUCCUGGAACAACAGUUAGUCCUGCUGUGAACCCAGACCACGGAAGUGAGGCUGUGGAUAUAUAUGUGCAGUCAAAUCCAGGAGUUGAGCAUACAAUAGACAGGGGAUUACUAAAUAUAAACAUAUCUUCUGAUUCUGUGGACAAUACAUCUGAUGCUGUCGACAAACGACAGCAAGCUGUAGGCGAAGCUAGCCGACCAUUGUCUUCAGGCACAAUGACGCAACAUGGACAACAUGCUGGAACCGUGGCAAUUUCUCCAAUUGAGAUGUUCCAGUCUGUCUUUACACUUGUUGAAGAUGAAAUGAUGGGUGAUCCUGCAUAUCUUAUUGCUGUCAUCAUAGAGUUUCUACGGAGCAUGCUGGGGUGUGCCGUUAGCAAAGAACAAUGAAUCUGGCCAUAUCACUGCCACAAUUGGCAUGUCGUUUCCAUGCAAUGACCAUUCACUCCAUUUUAUCGGCCAACAUGAUGACAAUGAGAGUUUCCUGUGGAAUCAUUUUUUUUAUUCUGUUAUAGUGUAUGCUUUGUGUUUUGUGUAGUGGAUGUUGUCUUAUCUGCUCUCAGGACAAAACAGGAUGAGAAAAAACUAUGUUGUCUAUUUGCAGUGUCUCAAAGGCUGGGCUUAAGGCUCCUCACAACCUUUAUGUGAUGACGGCGACACUACUAGCUCGUAGCAACCGUUACGCUGAAAUAGCAUUGUUUGUGUCAAACAAGAUUCUUGAGCCGUGUAAAGAACUGGCAAUGCAACUUAUGGAGCUGGGUCUGCAGCACCCGCCAACGAGGAAGCUGGGCAUGGACAUGCUGAGGGAGCGAGGCCUGCAUCACGACUACGUGACUGCGAUGCUGCAAGAUGGGUACUACUUGGAGGCCCUGCGCUAUGCCAGAAAAUACAAGGUGAUCACCGUGCAGCCUGCCCUAUUUCUGGAGAAAGCCCUGGCGAAGAACAGCGCCCACAACCUGGCUGCAGUGCUGAGCUUCUUCUGCGAGUUCACUCCGAGCUUCAAGGCCACAUCGGACUUUGUCAGAUACCGGCAUAUUCUGUCUGAAAUGGUUUGAACAGCUUUCCGUUGUGCAAACUUGUUGUCCCGAAAUGACUUGGCACGUCCUCUGUAACAAGCAACGUCACCUCGGAGGGUACUUUUAUUUAAUUCUUUUGGUCCCUCUUGCAGAAAAUAAUAUUUUAUUGUUGUGAAUAAAAAAACGUUGCAAUUA